rnacentral:misc_RNA from 1 species
GAACUGCGAUAAGUAAUGUGAAUUGCAGAAUUCAGUGAAUCAUCGAGUCUUUGAACGCACAUUGCGCCCCCUGGCAUUCCGGGGUGCAUGCCUGUCCGAGCGUCAUUGCUGCCCUUCAAGCCCGGCUUGUGUGUUGGGUCGUCGUCCCCUCCGGGGGACGGGCCCGAAAGGCAGCGGCGGCACCGCGUCCGGUCCUCGAGCGUAUGGGGCUUUGUCACCCGCUCGAUAAGGACCGGCCGGGCGCCAGCCGGCGUCUCCAACCUUUUUUUCUCAGGUUGACCUCGGAUCAGGUAGGGAUACCCGCUGAACUUAAGC